GUGCUUGCUUCAGCAGGACAUAUACUACAAUUGGAAUGACACAGAAAAGAUGAACAUGGACCCUGUGCAAGGCUGACAUGCAAGUUCAUGAAGCGUUUCAUGUUAAA